GCGUGCCUAAUACAUGCAAGUCGAACGAAACUUGCUUACACCGAAUGCUUGCAUUCACCGUAAGAAGUUGAGUGGCGGACGGGUGAGUAACACGUGGGUAACCUGCCUAAAAGAAGGGGAUAACACUUGGAAACAGGUGCUAAUACCGUAUAUCUCUAAGGAUCGCAUGAUCCUUAGAUGAAAGAUGGUUCUGCUAUCGCUUUUAGAUGGACCCGCGGCGUAUUAACUAGUUGGUGGGGUAACAGCCUACCAAGGUGAUGAUACGUAGCCGAACUGAGAGGUUGAUCGGCCACAUUGGGACUGAGACACGGCCCAAACUCCUACGGGAGGCAGCAGUAGGGAAUCUUCCACAAUGGACGCAAGUCUGAUGGAGCAACGCCGCGUGAGUGAAGAAGGUCUUCGGAUCGUAAAACUCUGUUGUUAGAGAAGAACACGAGUGAGAGUAACUGUUCAUUCGAUGACGGUAUCUAACCAGCAAGUCACGGCUAACUACGUGCCAGCAGCCGCGGUAAUACGUAGGUGGCAAGCGUUGUCCGGAUUUAUUGGGCGUAAAGGGAACGCAGGCGGUCUUUUAAGUCUGAUGUGAAAGCCUUCGGCUUAACCGGAGUAGUGCAUUGGAAACUGGAAGACUUGAGUGCAGAAGAGGAGAGUGGAACUCCAUGUGUAGCGGUGAAAUGCGUAGAUAUAUGGAAGAACACCAGUGGCGAAAGCGGCUCUCU
rnacentral:rRNA from 1 species